GUGCUUGCUUCAGCAGCACAUAUACUAAAAUUGGAACGAUACAAAGAAGAUUAGCAUG
ensembl:snRNA U6 U6 spliceosomal RNA